rnacentral:lncRNA from 1 species
CUAGUGGUAUGAUUCUCGCUUUGGGUGCGAGAGGUCCCGAGUUCGAUUCUCGGAAUGCCCCUUUGACUUCUUUUUUAAGUAGAAGAUCAGAUUUAAAGCAGAAAAUUCCUUAGGCUGUUUAGUCUUAGUUGUAUCACCCUUUAAUGUCAGCAAAAUGAAUUUUUAAAGUGCUAAAAGCAAAGGAAUAGAAGAACAUACCACUCUUUCACGUCCAAACAGUAAAUCUUUUUAACCAGUACUCUUCAUAUAGGGAGGACCACCAUUGUUUUCUAACAGCCAGAUUCACCAAGAAUGAGCUGCAUAAACAGAAAAAGAAUUUCGAUUAGUUAUCAACCGGAAAGAAAAGAGAGAAUGGUAAUAGGAGGCAUUAACUGGACACUAUAAUAAAUAACAGGGCAUUUGGUCUAGUGGUAUGAUUCUCGCUUUGGGUGCGAGAGGUCCCGAGUUCGAUUCUCGGAAUGCCCCUUUGACUUUUUCAACGAAUGUGGACUAAACGACAGCUGAGAAUUAGUCCUCUAGACUCUAAUACCUUCUUUUCAAAUAUCACCAAUAUAACAGUGUUUAUUAAAUUACAGACAAUCUGCCUCAACUACUAAUCCCUGGAAGUCAACUGAUAGAUCUAGAUCUAAAAAAUAGAGCUUUCUUUUUAGAUUAUGUAAACAUUUUCUCAUUAGAAUCAUGAAUAAAAUAGAAAAGUUGAGCUUACAGUACCUGAGUGUAGCCAGCUAUAUCAAGAAUAAAUCCCUCAAGAGGAAAUGUUNNNNNNNNNNNNNNNNNNNNNNNNNNNNNNNNNNNNNNNNNNNNNNNNNNNNNNNNNNNNNNNNNNNNNNNNNNNNNNNNNNNNNNNNNNNNNNNNNNNNNNNNNNNNNNNNNNNNNNNNNNNNNNNNNNNNNNNNNNNNNNNNNNNNNNNNNNNNNNNNGGGUGCGAGAGGUCCCGAGUUCGAUUCUCGGAAUGCCCCACUGACUUUUUGGAGUGUAGAAUGCUCACCUAGAAUUAGUCUUCACUGCCUAAGUCGCCAAAGCUCAUUUUCAACAACUGUUCAUGCAUUUUCUUUCAAAUUUAGCAAACGGAAAUAAGGGGGGAUACCACAUUCCAAGUUCAGGUAACUAACUGCAUAAAUGCAACUACUAAAAUGAGAAUCAUAAUGAGCUUUUGAUCCCACUAAUACUUACUUCUAUGUGCAGAAAGAUAACACUCAUUGGAUAACGUAUUGACAGAGGACAUAGCAAGCCGACUUCUGCAAGCCUCUCUAAGAGUUAACUGCAGCAUUGAAAAAAACUACCAGCUAUCAGUUGGUUUCCGGUAGACACAAAUUAGAUCAUGCAUUGGGGUUUCAUGAAGAAUUCUGCAUUGACUUAUAUCAACAACAGGGCAUUUGGUCUAGUGGUAUGAUUCUCGCUUUGGGUGCGAGAGGUCCCGAGUUCGAUUCUCGGAAUGCCCCAUUGACUUUUUUCUGAGUAAAUGUAUUCAAAUCAAACUGACAUAUGAAUGGCCAUACAUGGUUUCUUUUGGAUCCAUUACAAAAAUACAUUUUGAAUGCAGUCCAGCUAAAUAAAUUAUAUAGGGAGUCAGGAAUUGGCUUUUUAAAUAGCAAAAAGCCAAAAAAGCUAGAGUACAAAUCCAGAGGUAUUCUCUAGGUUCUUAACAAACAAAGUCAAUCAUAGCGAAUUAAGAAUAAUGCUAUGAUUGAGUCAAAUGUUAAUACAAACAAAAUCAUAAAGCCAAUUGAAAAAUGUAGGACAAGAAAAAGACUAUCUUCUUCUCAUUUUUUUUUGUUGCAGAAGAGGUUCUGUACAAUUGAGCCAACAUUAAUCUGGAUUAUCUCCAUACAGAGUACAAUACAGACCAGAAAUCAAUUUAUGAUAAAAACAAAAAAAAACAAAUGAUAUCGUUUAAUUGGGAUUUCAGUUUCAUAGAAUAGAUCUAGGAACAUCCUAUUAAAGUCAACUACGAGAACUAGAUCAAAAUAUGACCAUUUCAAUGUUUAAACUAUACCGGUUAGCAACAGGGCAUUUGGUCUAGUGGUAUGAUUCUCGCUUUGGGUGCGAGAGGUCCCGAGUUCGAUUCUCGGAAUGCCCCCUUAAAAUUUUUUGGAUGUCUAUUUCAAAUGUUAAUUGAUAAUGCAUGAGCUUUCCCUUUCAGGUUCUAACAAUUUACAGAUUAAUACUUUUGGUAUUAACAGCUAAAAUGCAACAACGAGAAUGAGAAUUGCAAUGUACCUUGGCUUUCACAUCCACUGUUUCAUAAGUGCAGCAAGAAAACAAUUUCUAGAUAGCUGAUUAAAAGUAGAAUGACACUAGCCGAAUGCUGCCAAAAAUUUUCUAGAGAUGCAGGAAAUGAAGAAGAAAACAUCCAAAAAGGGUAUAUAUGUUUCAAGAACGAUUAUGCAUUAACUGAUUUUUAUUCAACAACAGGUUACAGACCAUUUGGACUAGUGGUAUGAUUUACCAAGUAUUAAACGUAGGUUCUAGUAGCCAGAAGAAAACUAUAAGAUACAGUAAUUUAAACGUUUGAACCUAAUAUUAACCAUUAAACAGCUUAGAUUCUAAACAAAGAGGAACUAUAAAGCAGAAUGAGCCAGCAACAUUGAUAUGGAGAGAGCAAGUACUUACCCAUUUGCCGUUGAAUCUCGCAAGCUGUAAGGUUCUCCAAUCAGACCACAUAACAAGUGAAUCCUAUAUUAUAGCUGUGAGUCAAGAAAGCUGGUUUAGGACUUUCGUCGAACAUGUGGUGGGCAUAUCUGAUGAAGGAGCAUAUCAACAAAUAACAACUAGAUUCGAUGAAAACGCUCAUACCUGCUUGAACCUCGGCAACAUGAACGUGAAUCUUCAUCCCCGUUGGAGAAUUUUGCCGUAACGCAUAGCAAUGAAUUGCGAGAGGCUCUCGAUACAUGCAAAACAUUUUUGAAAUCCAAUGUGUUGACUGACAUUGGAAGUAACCAAAAUGAUAAACAUGAAUUUCUCUCCCUGAUGGUUUGUUCGAAGAAUUAGAAUUGCCAAAUCCGGUUGGACCGGUUUAAAUCGAACUAAAACCGCAUCAAAAAAUCUGACCAGCAACAAAAAAAAAGUGCAAGUAAACCGAUUUAUUAGUUUCAAUUUUCCCUUACCCAAACAAUCCUAACUAAACCUAACCAAAAUCAAAACUGAUUAAAACCUUUAUAAAGAUAUCAUAAAUUGGACACCUCAAGUCUCUAUGUUGACGAAAUGAAUAAUAUUUAUCCAAACGUAUACAAUAUGAUUGUCAUUAUUUAAUCAAUAUCCUUCAAGCAUGUUUCAAUGCAAACGUACAUACGAUUUGAUUUGAAUAUUAUAGGUCAACCAUUAACAAAAUCUAUAUGGGGCUAAGGUGUCAUAUGAAAAGGAAUAAUACAAACGGGUUGGUGUGGUGGGUUAGAAGAAUGUUCAUAACCACCUCAACUACACACUAAUCUGGUAUUUAUGGUUUAAGCCGAGCUAAACCAUACAUAAGCCACAUACAUAAACUGCAACCACCACCACCACCACUCCACAAGAGAGGUUCACCAAACUUGAUCCGACCUUUAUUACCGAUUUGCCCUCUUGAAACUUAGGCUAAGUAACAUGUAUAAAUAUACAAAUGCAUUGGAGGGAGUUUUGUAGUAGUCUUCGAAAGCAUUCCAACAUGUCUUGCAAAGGAGAGAUUGUGGUUGGUGUGGAGGAAGGAUUGUUUCUUUUGCCUUCAAACUUAUUCAAUGAACUCUUUCUUGAUUGUAUCGGUCCAUUCCCACAGGUAUUUUAAAUAACUCCAUUCUUAUAACAUCAUUGAUUAGUAGUCAUGUUAAGGAUGCAUAGUGAAUCAACCUUUGUUACAUAAUUUAUAGAGUAAUAGAGGAGGUAGCUACCAAUAUCGGAAGCCAAGAAUGUGGGACACGUUGAACCAGUACGGUUCCAUGGACGACAGGUCAAGAAAGUGUGCAGGUGCAUCGCAAGUUAAGCCACGAGGCACUGGAGUGUUUCUUCCUGAGAGGCCGGUGAGUAACUCAGAAGAGAAGAGACUCACGAAGAAGCCAUGCCCUGUCACCUCCUCUCAUUCUAGACAAGUCUUUCUUCCCAAGGAAUGGGCUUAUUAGCUAGUAAUUAACAAUAAAUUACUUUGUGUAUACUAUUACAACGCUCUUAAACAAAUAAGUUUGUACUGUCCUUCUCUAGAGUAGGCACCUGUAAAAUAGUAUUGGGUAUGGUUCCUCAAUAAUGCUUGCUUUCUCCCCUCUCUAUACCGAGCUACUUCUGAACUUGAAGAUUGCUGCACAGUAGACCUUCCCGGUAUUUAACUAUGUGGUCCAUGAUCAACGGAUUCCAGGGAGGAGAGUUUGCCAACAAUUGUAGUUAAUGAUUGGAGACAUCAUCGUCAAGUUUCAAGAUCAACCGCUGCAACCUAACUAAGGGAACUGGUGUAACACCAAAGUUUGGCUUCCACAUCUAAUAUCUUUGAUCUCUUCAAAUAGAAAACACCUCCCUUCUGCAUAUACAACCAGAAAACAUGAGACAAAACUUAUACUAGCUUUGUGGCACUAGAUUCUCUAAAACCAAACGACGACAAUUGGAUAAGUAUUAAUGUACUAACAAUACACACUAAUCUCAAUGACAAACAAAAAUUUCUACAGGAAUUUGAGAGUCAAGAACAGGCCAAGCAACAAAGUGUAAUAUUUUACAAGAUCUACAAAAGCACAGGCGUUUAUCUGGUUGAAACAGCUACCUAGAGCCUCAUACUCGAACUCGACUAUUACGACUGAAAGACAACAUAAAGAACUAGAUCUAAAGUGUAGCUACUUUUUUAGAUUACUCAACAAGAUAACAUUUUAAUAACAGAUACAAGAACCAAAUGUAAAUAAGUUGGAACUUAUAUUAACUGCACUUUGCCACAACAUACAUGAUGGCAUGAAUGCCCUUUUAUCACAUAAGAUUCUAAUCAGAGGAACUAUAGUAAAACCUACAAAAGAUUCCGAUAAGAAAAAAAACUUCUACUUAGAAAAACGAUCAGA